CGGCUUCCAUCCUGAGGCCCGCAGAGCACUAGGCUGGGGGGGCGCCUGGGCAGGAGGCUGCACGGCAAAGGCACAGGGUGUGCCAUGGAGUUUCCCCGGGAGCCGCAGCCCUGCCCACUCUACAGGGCCCCCGGGAAGUGACUGCCUUGCCAGACAACAGAAUCCAGGGCCCAGCCACGGACAAUCAGGGGAAGGCGUGGAGGGAGCGAGGAGAGACGGGAGCCGGGCAUUAGAGGGGUUACCAGGUUUGGGGUCCUGCAGGCAGAAUUCAGGUGGCGGGGUGGGGACGCAUCGCCCCCAUAGUGAGCAGGGUCCAUGCAGUGCAGCCCAACGGGGGCUUUGUCCUGAGGACUGUGGCCAGCUGCUGAGGGUGUUUGGGAACACCCCUCCCAGAGGGGUGAGGCGGCCCAGCCUGCGGCUGCCAGAGGACACAGGUUCUGCUGCGGAACCCGCAGACAUGGCCAUAACAGGCCACAGUGCUCGGGCCCACACAGCCUGGACCCACAUGGCCCUGUGUCACCUCCUCAGGGGCAGGCUUCAGGGCCUCGACCCUAGAGGCUGCCCCUCGGUUCUGCUCCAUGGACGGCGCAGGCAGGCCCAGGCCUGUGACGAGUUCACGGAAGCUCCAGGAUGACCCCCGCUCUGCGCCCUCCUCCAGCAUUCCAGACCACAAACCACUCUGGGCUAAAACGAGGCAUCGCCAGAGCAUCCCACUUCCUCGGAAAGCUGCGGUCUGGGGACGUGUCUUGGCCCUGAGGAGGCUCCAGAUGGCUCCCAUCCGGCCUCUCCGCCUACGUGCGGCCGACAUGGAGUGACAGAGCGUCGGGAACACAGAAUUCAGAGCUGGGCCUGGGGCUGCUUUGAGAUACUGAUGGCUGCCAGGGGCACAGAGACCCGUCCUGCAGACAGGGCUGUGAGGGCCACGGGGGGCCUCGGGGAGAGGCAGUGGGAGGGAGGACAGUGGGGGCCUCCGGCUGGGUGAGCAGCUGGAGCGAGGGGGGCCCGGGGCUUGUGAUAGUGCUGCCGACCCUAGAGGUGCCGACCCUAGAGGUGCCGGCCCCACGAUGGGAGAGCACGUAGUGCACACCGGGAGUCAGGAGGCCGGGCCUGACCUCGGGGGCUGCAGCCAGGGGAGGCCGGCACCCCAGAUAACCCCCAAAGAACUGCAGGCCCUGAGGCGAGGCCAGAGUGGGGGCGGGGGCGGGUCCCAGCCGAGGAGGUGCUCCGUGCUGCCUCAGCAGAACCCAUGACGGGCUGGCCCAAGGCUCUGAAGGUGGAAAGGCCUCACACAUUCUGCCUCGGCUGACGCCUUCCUUGGGCCAGUGCUCGGCGGUGUGUAACAAACACCAAGACGCAUUGUAAAGAAGGAAGGCUGCGUUUCCAUCACCAGCUUAAUAUCAAACAAAAGUGCAAUUUUGAAAAUGUAGUCCAAGGUUGUUUUCUGUGGUGCAGAAAUGGCCAGGCCAGACCUCCGUGGGUGGUCCUUCGUGUCCACGUCAGCGCCCCACAUCCACGCUGUGGGCACCAUGACCUCACAUGCGGAGCUGAGCAGGGCCGGCGCCCGGAGAGCCAGGCUGGUCAUGAACGAGGCCUAGAGGGCGUCAGGCCCCAAAGCACUCACAGGCUUCUCUUCGGUCCUCGGGGCCUUCAGACACCUGCGUGCGCCGAUUCAGACACCCGCGCGCGCCGAUUCCCCUGGCCACGGGGUUUCCGAAGUGUGUGUUCAGAGGACAGUUUCCUCCAGGAUGACCUGUCAGUGGCUCUCUGUGCCGGGGAUGUCGCGUGCUGGGUCCCGGUCUGAAUGCUUCCUAAUGAUUUAACCAGUUCCUUUUCUCCACUCAGGAGGCGUUUGCUGAGAGGCACAGGCUGAGCCCCCGUGCUGAUGCCACGACCGAGUGAACGGGUCUCCCUGUCGGCAUGAACUGACCCGGCCAGGCGUCCACUGCCACUCGGACUGUCCCCCAGGCACGUGGCACCCACACGGGCAGAACACGCCCUCCACACACGCGGCUUCGGGCAGAACACGAGGCGCCCUCCACACACGCGGCUUCGGGGCUCAUCGUGAAAAAAGCCGAAUGCUGGGGGUGCAGCUUUCACCAACAGAAUGCCGUUUGGAAGGGACACGCCUGCAGGCCUGCAGAAGCUGCAUCUCGGGAUGGCCAAGAGCCCGGCCAGGCCCCACGGCUGCACCCAGGACGGGAUUCAUGCCCCGUGCCUGGCUUCUCACGACCACAGAGUGCCUUUCCCGGGACUGGAUGGAGGCAGAGUGAGAGAAGAGCCUGGAGCAAGUGUUUUGGACCACAGUGAUCAAACACGGAGCCCGUGGGAGGACGUGCGGGGCUUUGCCGGGCGAGCCCGAUGCUGCUCACGGCACCUGGAGUGUUCGGGCCGCUGUUCCGGCGGUGUUCUGAGCAGCCGUCAGACCUUGAGUUUUGCUGUCAAAAGCUCUUCUCUCCUGCCCCGAAAUAUACCCAGUCCAUGCCCCAAGAGAAAAGGCCUUUGUGCCAGGUGGGCACCCGGCUGCCUCUUGGCAAAGACUUGUUGGAAAAAUGAGUGAGUGACGAGGCUGCUGGUCAGCGUGUGGCCUGUGGCGUCACUGGGGCCUCUGGUGGCUGCUGGAACCAGAAGAGGAGCCUGCGCUGCAACCCGGGCUGCACCACGUCAGGGUCUCACCGGGAGCCGGAGAGCUUGUUCCCAGGCAACCCUGAAACAGAGAAGUGUCCUUGGAGGCUUCACCCACGCAGACCCGCAGCUUCCUGGUAGAAGCCGUCUGCACCCCCGCACUGACCUGGCUCUGUGAGGAGAGCGGGGAGAGGCUCCAGGGAAACAUCCUGGCGUUGGCGUAGCCAGCCUGUGAGUCACGGGGAAGCCGGCCUCCCGGAUGCCCCCCUAGGACCCGGUGAGUCCACACACAGCACAGCAGGGCAUGGGCCCGCACCACCGCCUUUUCCUGCAGGCCCCUCAUGUCCACUGACUGCACCUCCAGGGACUCUGCCCGGCAACCCAGGCGCCCCUGACCCACCCCACCACACAGCUCCUUCUGCCUCACCCACACGCCGCCAGACCCUGAGCGCUCACGAAGUCUCCUGGUCAAGAAUUUUGAGAGCCAGUUGCUAAACACAGAUGUUAUUUAUUUAUUUGAGACAGAGUCUUGCUCUGUCACCCAGGCUGGAGUGCAGUGGCACAAUCUCAGCUCACUGCAGCCUUGGCCUCCCGGUCCAGUGAUUCUCCUGCCUCAGCCUCCUGGGUAGCUGGGAUUGCAGGCGCCCACCACGCCCAGCUAGUUUUUGUAUUUUUAGUAGAGACGGGGUUUCGCCAAGUUGGCCAGGCUGGUCUCAAACUCCUGACCUCAGGUGAUCUGUCAGCCUCAGCCUCCCAAAGUGCUGGGAUUACAGGCGUGAGCCACCGCACCCGGGCUACAGAUGUUAUUUUUAAAAUUACAUAAACUUACAAUUAAAUACAUUAAGUUAAA